rnacentral:rRNA from 1 species
AUGAAGCCCUUCGGGGUGGAUUAGUGGCGAACGGGUGAGUAACACGUGGGCAAUCUGCCCUUCACUCUGGGACAAGCCCUGGAAACGGGGUCUAAUACCGGAUAUUACUCCUGCCUGCAUGGGCGGGGGUUGAAAGCUCCGGCGGUGAAGGAUGAGCCCGCGGCCUAUCAGCUUGUUGGUGGGGUAAUGGCCCACCAAGGCGACGACGGGUAGCCGGCCUGAGAGGGCGACCGGCCACACUGGGACUGAGACACGGCCCAGACUCCUACGGGAGGCAGCAGUGGGGAAUAUUGCACAAUGGGCGAAAGCCUGAUGCAGCGACGCCGCGUGAGGGAUGACGGCCUUCGGGUUGUAAACCUCUUUCAGCAGGGAAGAAGCGAAAGUGACGGUACCUGCAGAAGAAGCGCCGGCUAACUACGUGCCAGCAGCCGCGGUAAUACGUAGGGCGCAAGCGUUGUCCGGAAUUAUUGGGCGUAAAGAGCUCGUAGGCGGCUUGUCACGUCGGAUGUGAAAGCCCGAGGCUUAACCUCGGGUCUGCAUUCGAUACGGGCUAGCUAGAGUGUGGUAGGGGAGAUCGGAAUUCCUGGUGUAGCGGUGAAAUGCGCAGAUAUCAGGAGGAACACCGGUGGCGAAGGCGGAUCUCUGGGCCAUUACUGACGCUGAGGAGCGAAAGCGUGGGGAGCGAACAGGAUUAGAUACCCUGGUAGUCCACGCCGUAAACGUUGGGAACUAGGUGUUGGCGACAUUCCACGUCGUCGGUGCCGCAGCUAACGCAUUAAGUUCCCCGCCUGGGGAGUACGGCCGCAAGGCUAAACUCAAAGGAAUUGACGGGGGCCCGCACAAGC